GCAAGCGUUGUUCGGAUUUACUGGGCGUAAAGGGCGCGUAGGCGGCGUGACAAGUCACUUGUGAAAUCUCCGGGCUUAACCCGGAGCGGCCAAGUGAUACUGUCGUGCUAGAGUGCGGAAGGAGCUACUGGAAUUCUCGGUGUAGCGGUGAAAUGCGUAGAUAUCGAGAGGAACACCUGCGGCGAAGGCGGGUAGCUGGGCCGACACUGACGCUGAGGCGCGAAAGCCAGGGGAGCGAACGGG
rnacentral:rRNA from 1 species